rnacentral:rRNA from 1 species
CCUACGGGCGGCAGCAGUGAGGAAUAUUGGUCAAUGGACGAGAGUCUGAACCAGCCAAGUAGCGUGAAGGAUGACUGCCCUAUGGGUUGUAAACUUCUUUUAUAUGGGAAUAAAAUGUUCCACGUGUGGGAUUUUGUAUGUACCAUAUGAAUAAGGAUCGGCUAACUCCGUGCCAGCAGCCGCGGUAAUACGGAGGGUCCGAGCGUUAUCCGGAUUUAUUGGGUUUAAAGGGAGCGUAGGUGGAAUGUUAAGUGAGUUGUGAAAGGUUGCGGCUCAACCGUAAAAUUGCAGUUGAAACUGGCAGUCUUGAGUACAGUAGAGGUGGGCGGAAUUCGUGGUGUAGCGGUGAAAUGCUUAGAUAUCACGAAGAACUCCGAUUGCGAAGGCAGCUCACUGGACUGCAACUGACACUGAGGCUCGAAAGUGUGGGUAUCAAACAGGAUUAGAUACCCCAGUAGUC